rnacentral:rRNA from 1 species
AGGACGAACGCUGGCGGCGCGCUUAACACAUGCAAGUCGAGCGAGAACCAGUCCUUCGGGACUGGGGACAGCGGCGAACGGGUGAGUAACACGUGGGUAAUCUGCCCUCGAUUCUGGGAUAGCCCGGGGAAACCCGGAUUAAUACCGGAUAGCCUCUCGAGCUCUCGAGCUCUUGAGAAAAGGUAGCUUCGGCCUCCGAUCGAGGAUGAGCCCGCGGUGGAUUAGCUUGUUGGUGGGGUAAUGGCCUACCAAGGCGACGAUCCAUAGCUGGUCUGAGAGGACGAUCAGCCACACUGGGACUGAGACACGGCCCAGACCUCCUACGGGAGGCAGCAGGUGGGAAUCGUUGCGACAAGUGGGACGAAAGCCUGACGCGAGCGACCGCCGCGGUAGGGGGAAGAAGGGACCGUUAGGUUACGUAAACCGUUCUUUACAGGUACGAGGACGAACGCCAACGUCGGUAGAAUACGACCGAGA